rnacentral:snRNA from 1 species
AUUGCUUCUCCGCCUUUUGGCUAAGAUCAAGUGUAGCAUUUCUCAAGUGUGAUCAUAAAGCUAGUUUGCUUGGGAUCCUGUAGGAUCCUGUAUUAAAUGCUCUUUUUUUUUUUUUUUUUUUUUUUUGGAGAGAAAGCAUGUGCACACGAGGGUGGGGGCAGAGGAAGAGAGAAAAUCUUAAGCAGGCUCCGGGCCCAGCACAGAGCCCAA